rnacentral:rRNA from 1 species
AUGGAGCGGCGGCGGUGGCUGCAGGCCUCGGUUCUAAUGUGCUUGCUGCUGCUUUGCUCCGGGAGAGAACUCAAGAACAAAAGACAAGCGCCAGCAUUUGAUUCCACUCUCGCCAAGACGCUUGCAGAGUAUACUUCAGCAGUUUAUACUAAUGAUCUGUCACAGUUAUUCACCUGGACCUGUGAAAAAUGUGGUGACUUAACGGAGGGGUUCGAGGUGAUCGAGCUGAUUAUUGAUGUGAAAAAUUGCUUGGAGGCAUAUGUCGGUUUUGCAAGUGACAUGAAUGCUGUUGUAGUUGCAUUCAGAGGGACUCAGGAGAACAGCAUCCAGAAUUGGAUUGAGGACUUAUUUUGGAAACAACUUGAUUUUGACUAUCCAGGCAUGACUGAAGCAAAGGUGCACAGUGGGUUUUAUUCUGCAUAUCAUAAUACUACAUUGCGUGAUGGAGUCAUCAACGGCAUCCAGAAGACCAGGGAAGCAUAUGGCAAUAUUCCCAUCAUGGUGACAGGACAUUCCAUGGGAGGGGCCAUGGCUUCGUUUUGUGCCCUUGAUCUUAUUGUCAACUAUGGGUUAAAGGACGUGACCCUGCUGACAUUUGGGCAACCUCGGAUUGGUAAUGCUGUGUUUGCUACCCACUUUAAGAAAUACUUGCCAAACGCAAUUCGAGUUACCAACGCACAUGAUAUUGUGCCUCAUCUACCCCCGUACUACCAGUACUUCCCACAGAAAACCUACCAUCAUUUCCCACGAGAGGUUUGGGUUCAUAAUAUUGGACUCGAUAGCCUAGUAUACCCGAUCGAGCAAAUCUGUGACGAUUCUGGUGAAGACCCCACUUGCAGCAGGUCCGUGAGUGGAAAUAGCGUGCAAGACCAUAUCCACUAUCUUGGCAUCAGCAUGCAUUCCGAGUCGCGCGGAUCAUGCAGGAUCGUCACGGAUGACAAUAUGCUCAGGCACAAAGUUGACACUGUAGACGGUGCUAUUGUCUUCUCGAAGCAGCCUGGUUUAUCAGUUGGUCAGCUACUCAGUACACAGUAA